AACGCCCCGCGCAGGCGCUGGCCUGGCCGUGUUAGGCUUCGCUGGCGUAAAGUCCCCGGGAGCUUUGCCCCUCACGGAGAACGUUAGUUGACCCUGAUGGGGACCCGUAGGGUAAAGGUUUUGUUUUUGUUUUUUUUUACGGAAAAGGUUGUGGUUAGGCCCCUUGGAAAGUUGCGACAAAACUCGAGUUAGACAAGGAAGGUCGGAACUAAGUGGCCACAGCAACAAUGCACCAGCAAGCAGGGAGCGUGAUAGGAAGAGCUAAAGAGGAAUCGGGAAACCCUGGGUAAAAGUCGUCCAAGUGGAACUUCCUUUGGUCGGGGGUCUGAUACUCGAAGGAAACGGUCUUUCACUUCUGGGUUAGGGCGUCCGCCCAGAGGGCGACUGCAAUGAAGGAAAUUGUGCCCUGCGACUUCCCGUAACAGAGCUGUGUGUCCACGCUCCCUUUUCCGAGCAGGCGCGGACGCUUGUGCCGGAAGUAAACUUGUUAACGGUUCUUUGCCUUUUGGGGAGGGGAGACAGCCCAGAGAAGGCUUUGGAGACCCUUGAGUCGGCCAGCGAGCAGGGUUUCUUACUUGAGCGCCUCCACAAAUAAACGCUCCUUCGCUCCUCCGUCGCGUGCGUUUCCCUGGGAUAAUAAGUGGGAAAGUGGUGGCUUUUAUUUUUUUGAGACAGGGUCUCACCGCCGUCGCCCAGGCCGGAUGGAGUGCAGUGGCGCGAUCACGGCUCACUGCAGCCUCGACUUCCCAGGCUCAGAGAUGGGUUUCACCAUGUUUCCCAGCCUUGUCUCAAACUCCUGACCUCAAGUGAUCCGCCGUCUUGGGUCUUCGAAAGUGCUGGGACAGCAGGAGUGAGCCACCGCAUCUGGCCCGGAAAGUGUUUUGGAGCGUAGAAAAAUGCAAAUUAUAGGGCUGCCUUCAAGGAUCCCGAAGGACCCACAGAUUUGCCGCAUCAGGCUCCUAUGCACGCCGGUAAUUUGAUGUGUUGAGAUGCACUGCCCAGUGCGUUGUUUUUACUGGAGGAGCUUGUGUGCGGAGCUCCUUGCUAGUGUAUGUGUUGGGAUGGGAGAGAAGUGCGGGAGAACUAUGAGAUAAUGCCCCCUGAUCCUCAGGGUCUUAGGAGGUAUGGUCGGAGAGGCUAAGCUAAAGUAUGAAAGCCGUGUGUAGGCCCUUCUGUGUAGUGCAGAAAAGGUAGAGGUAUGUGAUUUGAAAGAGUAGGGAUGACAUGGAGGAUGCGACUCCUGGUUGGAUCUAUAAACUAAUGUCUUUGGAACGAAAGCACAUGCAACCUUUUGAAAAUGGAUGGGUGAUAAUGAAAGACCAUUCCAGAGAAGAAACACCAUGGUGCAAAGGCUCAAGAGGCAUACUGGAAGUACAAUGAAGAGAGCAAUCUAACUGAAAUGGGAAAAAAAGAAACAAAGAGUAAAAAGUAAGAUUUGAUGAGAAAGAUGGAAUCGAUUUUUAAAUUUUUUUAUCUACACAACAAAAUUUAUUAUCUUAACCAUUUUUGAGUGAAUAAUUCGUUAGUAUUAAGUAUAUUUACCUCGUGCGGCCAGUCUCCAGAAUUCUUUUCAUCUUGCAAAACAAACCCCGAACCCAUUAAACAAUUUCUCAUUCGCCAUUUUCCAGCUAGCCUUGGUAACCUCCAUUCUAGUUCUGUCUCUGUGAAUUUGACUGUGUACCCCGUGUAAGUGGUAUCAUACAGUAUUUGUAUUUUUGUGACUGGCAUAUUUCACAUAGCAUAAUCUCCUUGUGGUUUAUCCAUCUUGUAGCAUGUGUCAGAAUUUCCUUCCCUUUUAAGACUAAAUAAUAUUCCAUUGUGUGUAUAUACCACUUGUGUUAUUUCCACCUUUUGGUUAUUGUGAAUAAUACUGCUUCAAACAUGAGUGUACAGAUAACUCUUCAAGAUCCUUUUAGGGUAAUACAGAGAUAGUAAGUUAUCUUGAUUGUUCACUGCCAGUUACAGACCAAACUCCUUGUUCUCCUUGUGCUCCACUUCUCAACCACUGCACUUGGCUAGUCUUAAACAAAAAAAGAAAAAC
rnacentral:lncRNA from 10 species